rnacentral:lncRNA from 1 species
AAAUAAUAAUUUGAAUAAAGAAAGAGAAAAAGAAAAAGAAUUAAAAAGUUCAGUAGAUAUUGUAGAAAACCAAAUUUUUGAUAUGGAAUCAUUAAUAAAUAAAAAUGAAAAUAUUGUGAAAGAUAUUAACAAACAAAUAAAAGAAAUUAUGCUACAUUCAGCUAAAGUAAAAAAAAGUCAAAAUGAUGUACUCCAAAGAAAGUUUUAUUUAUAUGGGUAUGAUAUACAUAAUAUAAAAAAUAUUAUUAUUGAAAAAUAUGGCAUUUUAAAUAAAUCUGAGUUCAUUAAAAACAGUAGUAAUGAUAUAAGUGAUGAUAUAAAUGUAGAAAAUAAUAUUUUAGGAAUAGAAAAAGAAUCAUUGAACAUUUUUAAAUAUGAACCUGUCGGACCAGUUGGUGAAUAUAUAAAACUAAAAGAAGCAAUUACAACAGAUGAUAAAGUUAUGUCUAUAAUAGAAAAACAUUUAGGUGAUUUAUUAUUUUCUUGGCUAGUCAGUUGUUAUGAAGAUAAAAAUAAAUUAAAUAGUAUAGAUAUACUAGCGAAUAACAAAAAAAAAUGGAGUAUUAUUGUGACUAAUGCAUUUCAACAUGUACAUAGAGAUAAACUAUUAAAAACAAUACAAUGUAUAUUAAGUAAAAUAGUAGGUAAUAGUAUAUACUCUUAUUUAAAUGUAGAUACAAUGCCUACUGCUUUGUUAUUUUAUUUAUAUGAUAAUUAUAAAAUUAUACAAACAUUAAUAUGUAAAAAUUCAAAUGAGUUACAAGAAUUAUUAAAAAAAAAUGAUCAUAAAAUUAUAAAAUUUAUUUAUGUUAUUGAUGAUUUUGUUUUGGUUAAAGUGUUAGGUAAUGGUAGUUUGCAUUACCAACCUUUUAAAGAAGAUAGAUAUCAAAAGCCUGUUUGUUUGGCCUUUUUAUUGGUGCAUAAUUUGUUGCCGAAUGGCUCCGGUGAAAAUGAUGUUAUUGCUGAUAUGUCAUCUGAAUCUAUGACAUUAACUGAAGAAUAUUAUAAAAAGCAAAAAGAAAAAGAACUUACUAAAUUGGAAAAUGAAAAAAAUGAAAAAAAUGAAAAAAUAUUAAGUUAUGCGUAUAAAAUAGAAGAGUAUAGAAAUAAUAUUAAUAAUUUACGAGAAUCAAUACAAAAAUGUAAGUUUGCACAAGAUGAAUUAAAAACGAAAUUAAAAAAUGUAAACGAGUUGAUCGAUAAACAUGUUAAUCUAUUUUCUGAACAAUUGGACAUUGAAAUAAAAGAAAAAAAUUUAAUAUUAGAUGAAUUUAAUAAUAAUGUAAAUGAAAUAAAUGAAUAUAUAAAUGUAUAUGAAGAAAAAAAACUAUAUAAUACAUACAUAUGUAAAUUACAUACAUGUUUAAUAACAGAUCAUGAUAAAUACCUAAAACGAAAAAAAGAACAGUUUUGUAAUUUGGUUAGAGAAUAUAACAAUUUAAAAGAAGCAUAUGCUAAAUUGGAAAUGGAAAGACAAACAAAUGAUGAAAUUGCUAUAAAAAACAAAAAAAAAUUCUUCUUAAAUUUAAACAAAAUGCAUCAUAUAUUUUUUGAAUCUUUUACUAAUAACUCUAUAGGUCAUGAUAGUAUUUUUUUGAAAUCUCCUUUUUUGCUUAUGAAAGACAAACAUGAAAUUGAUUUUAUUAUGAAUAUAUAUGACGUGGUUAUACAAAAAAAUAGACAAGACACAAAUGAUAAACAAACGGAAACAAUUAUAACAGAAUCGGGACCUUAUAAUAAUAAUAAUAAUAAUAAUAAUAAUAAUAAUAAUAAAAACAGUACAGAAGAUAAAAAAAUAAAAAUGACAUUUUAUUAUACUUUAACAUAUCCAAAUAAAUCAGGAGGUAAUAUAGACACAAGACAAGUAUCAGUGAAUAUUCCGAUGUCAUGCUUAAGUCUAUUCAAUAAACUUUUUUUAGUAAGUUCUAAUGUAGAAAAAGAUAACAAAGUUGGUAUUGCUACUGGCGAUGGAAAUAGUAAAAGUAAACGUAGUGAUGAUGACGGAUGUGUUAGUACUACAGAUUAUGAACAUGAACAUGAACAUGAACAUGAACAUGAACAUGAUACUUAUAAAAAAGCAAAAGGUUUUAUUAAUCAAAGUAUGGAAGAAGAAAUAGAAGAUAUAGCCGAAUAUGACAUAUAUAUUAGAGAUUUAGUUAAAAGGGAUAUACAAACUGGAGUAGAAUCGGAAGUGGAGGAAGAAGCGAAAGUGGAGGAAGAAGCGAAAGUGGACGAAAAAGCGGAUGUACAUGUCCAACCACAUGAGCAAACAAAAACGAACAUGAGAAAUUCGAACGUAAGUCGAAAUCAUACUAAUGACAGUACAUACGAUAUUCAUAACGACAUAUCUACCUAUGCGGAUAUGUUAUGGAAAAAGCGAUGUGAGAAAAAAAAUGAGCUAACUCAAAUGAUAAAAAAUAUGGGUUGUUAUGAAACUGAGCUUACUGACAAUUCGAUAAAAACAUAUUUUAACAAACUAGUGGAAGAAUAUAUAACGGAAGAUACAUAUUAUCAAAACCAGUUAAAACAAAUAAACGAAUUAAAGUCAAAUUAUAAUAUGCAUUCAUGUAACAUAGAGCUAAGAAAGGUAAAAUUUGCUAACACUCUAAAAAAAACGAAAAAAAGUAUUAUAACAAAUUUUAGAAAUAUUUUACAAAGUAUGAAUAAUUAUAAAGGUAAAAUUGAAAUUGACGACUCAAAUAAAAGUUUUAAAGUUUUGGUUUCUUUAAAUAAUAAUAAUAUUUCAAAAAAAUCUUAUCUAAAUAUUAGUUCCUUAUCAGGAGGUGAAAAAUCUACCAUACAGAUGGCUUUGCUGGCUUCAUUUUCCUUAACGGAGUAUUCUGCUUUCCAUAUUUUCGACGAGCUGGACGUUUACAUGGACG